rnacentral:rRNA from 1 species
UACGUAGGGUGCGAGCGUUGUCCGGAAUUAUUGGGCGUAAAGAGCUCGUAGGCGGCUUGUCGCGUCGUGUGUGAAAUCUCAGGGCUCAACUCUGACAUUGCAUACGAUACGGGCAGGCUUGAGUUCGGUAGGGGAGACUGGAAUUCCUGGUGUAGCGGUGAAAUGCGCAGAUAUCAGGAGGAACACCGGUGGCGAAGGCGGGUCUCUGGGCCGAUACUGACGCUGAGGAGCGGAAAGCGUGGGGAGCGAACAGG